rnacentral:rRNA from 1 species
AGUGAACGCUGGCGGUAGGCCUAACACAUGCAAGUCGAACGGCAGCACAGUAAGAGCUUGCUCUUACGGGUGGCGAGUGGCGGACGGGUGAGGAAUACAUCGGACUCUACUUUUUCGUGGGGGAUAACGUAGGGAAACUUACGCUAAUACCGCAUACGACCUACGGGUGAAAGCAGGGGAUCUUCGGACCUUGCGCGAUUGAAUGAGCCGAUGUCGGAUUAUCUAGUUGGCGGGGUAAAGGCCCACCAAGGCGACGAUCCGUAGCUGGUCUGAGAGGAUGAUCAGCCACACUGGAACUGAGACACGGUCCAGACUCCGACGGGAGGCAGCAGUGGGGAAUAUUGGACAAUGGGCGCAAGCCUGAUCCAGCCAUACAGCGUGGGUGAAGAAGGCCUUCGGGUGGUAAAGCCCUUUUGUUGGGAAAGAAAAGCAGCAGGUUAAUACCCCGCUGUUCUGACGGUACCCAAAGAAUAAGCACCGGCUAACUUCGUG